GCAGCAGUCCAAGCUUCUGGUGCAACCGCAUCCUCUCAUGAGGCAUCAGAUGCUUCAUUUGUUAAAAAGUCAGCAGCAAGCAUGCUUAGUGGGAAGAGGCCUGUUCAAGCAGCUCCUACCAACAAAAAAGGGGCUUCUGCUAAAGGGGGUGUGAGUAAGAAGAGUGAUGCACCUGCACAGACAAAAUCCUCUAAAUCUGCUGAAACACCCGAAGAUGUUGAG